ACUUUUAACAACGGAUCUCUUGGCUCUCGCAUCGAUGAAGACGCAGCGAAAUGCGAUAAGUAAUGUGAAUUGCAGAAUUCAGUGAAUCAUCGAAUCUUUGAACGCACCUUGCGCUCCUUGGUAUUCCGGGAAGCAUGCCUGUUUGAGUGUCAUUA
rnacentral:rRNA from 1 species